GACGAACGCUGGCGGCGUGCCUAAUACAUGCAAGUAGGACGCAGUCGCGAGCGGGUGAGUAAGGCGUAGGUCCCUGGCUAUUAGAGGGGGAUAACUAUUGGAGACGAUAGCUAAUACCGCAUCCUAGUAGAUGGAGCUGCGUUGUAUUAGCUAGUAGGGAGGGGAAUGGCCUACCUAGGCAACGUUACAUAGCCUACCUUGGGAGGUGAUCCGCCACCCUGGGACUGGGACACGGCCCAGACCCCUACGGGAGGGAGCCGUAGGGGAUCUUUGGCAAUGGGGGGAAACCCGACCGAGGCACGCCGGGGGGGUGAAGAAGGUUUUCGGAGCUUUAAGCUCUGUUGUUAAGGAAGCGGUACUUAACCAGAAAGGGACGGCUAACUACGUGCCAGCAGCCGCGGUAAUAC
rnacentral:rRNA from 1 species